rfam:Rhodotorula sp. JG-1b unplaced genomic scaffold RHOSPscaffold_33, whole genome shotgun sequence.
GGGGAUGUGGCGCAGUGGCAGCGCGUUCCGUUUGCACUCUGCAAAGUUUCGGAAAGGGCCCGGGUUCAAACCCCGGCGUCUCCA